UACAGGAGUGUGUGCAUCUGUGUAUAGGGGUGCAUGUGUGUGAGUGUGCAUCUGUGUACAGGAGUGUGUGCAUCUGUGUAUAGGGGUGCAUGUGUGUGAGUGUGCAUCUGUGUACAGGAGUGUGUGCAUCUGUGUACAGAAGUGCAAGUGUGUGAGUGCAUCUGUGUACAGAAGUGUGUGCAUCUGUGUAUAGGAGUGCUUGUGUAUGAGUGUGCAUCUGCGUACAGGAGUGUGUGCAUCUGUGUAUAGGGGUGCAUGUGUGUGAGUGUGCAUCUGCAUACAGGAGUGUGUGCAUCUGUGUAUAGGAGUGCUUGUGUAUGAGUGUGCAUCUGCGUACAGGAGUGUGUGCACCUGUGUAUAGGAGUGCAUGUGUGUGAGUGUGCAUCUGUGUACAGGAAAGUGUGCAUCUGUGUAUAGGAGUGCUUGUGUAUGAGUGUGCAUCUCUGUGUACAGGAGUGUGCAUCUGUGUAUGGGAGUGCAUGUGUGUGAGUGUGCAUCUGCGUACAGGAGUGUGUGCACCUGUGUAUAGGAGUGCAUGUGUGUGAGUGUGCAUCUGCGUACAGGAGUGUGUGCAUCUGUGUAUGGGAGUGCGUGUGUGUGUCUGCAUGUGUACGGGAGUCUGUGUAUGUGUGAGCACACAUCUAUCCGGGAGAGCCUGAGUGUGCAUCUGUGUAGGGGUACGUGUGUGUGCAUGUGAGCUGCAUCUGUGUAGGGGAGUGCUUGUGUGUGUGAAUGUGCAUGCAUGACUGUGCAUCUGUGUAUAGGAGUGUGUGUGUGUCUGAACAGCUGAGAGGGAUCUCGGGCAGAGGACGCGAGAGUGGGGCGGGGGCGAGACUUGGGCUGUGCUUGAGAACAUGAAAGAGCGAUGAGUCAAUGCCGCAUUGUUUUUCUAAACUCCUAAUGCAAACAACAUGUGGGGCAGGGCCCAGCUGGUGCCCAGGGAGCCCCUGACGGGGUCCUCAGGAAACAGGUGCUCCUGGAAAGCUUCCUGCCGCUGGGCUGUGGCGAGAGGGCGAGGCCACCAUGCGUUUACGAUCUUCAGGCAGGCCCAGCUGCAGCUGGGUGGGAAUCCAUGGCCACACGCCCCAGCGGUGCAGGCCUCAGCUGGGAUAGGCUGCACGCCUUGGCCACACCCAGCUUCACAGGCAGAUGGGAGGUGUGGCCCUGCAGUGCUCCGCCCACUCCGUGGAAUCGUUGAUGAGGGGGUUAUGAGCAUCUUUCAUUUGCAAAGCUGUCACCAAGGAUUCUCCCAACGUGUGGCUCCGAUCAUGGCGCCAGCAGCUGCGAAUGCUUGGGGCUGUUUCUAAGUGCCUUCUACCACGUGGCAGAACCUCAGCCUUCGCAUCCUUGCCAGUUUGAGAGGGCGAUGGCACCUUCUAAGUUGUGGAGGCUAAGAAGAAAAAAGCGGGCCUGGCGAUGGGGCACAGUGAGUUCGGCAUCCCACACGCAUGCAGGCUGCAGUCCCAGCUGCUCUGCUGCUGACCGGCUCUCUGCCAGUGAGGCUGGGAAAGCAGCACAGGGGGCUCAGGUAACUGGAUUCCUGCCACCCAUGUGGGAGACCUGGAUUGUGUUCUCAGAUCCCAGCUUCGGCCCUAGCCACUGCAGGCAUUCGGGGCGUGAACUGGAGCAGAGGCGUAAAAGGGAGCUGCGCCCCCGACUCCAUCCUAUCUUGUCAUUCUGCCUAUGAAAUAAAUAAAUCAUUUUCAAAAGUUAGAAAAAUGAAAGCUUUCCCCCUCACUAUCUUUUUUUUUAAGAUAUAUUUAUUUGAAAGGCAGAGUUACAGAGAGGCAGAGAGAGAGAGAGAGAGAGAGAGAAAGAGAGAGAGAGAGAGAGAAAGAGAGAGAGGGAGAGAGAGAGGGAGAGGGAGAGGGAGGUCUUCCAUCUGCUGGUUCUCUCCUCCAGAUGGCUGCAGUAGCAGGAGCUGCACCAGUCUGAAGCCAGGAGCCAGGAGCUUCUUCCAGGUCUCCCAUGUGGGUACAGGGGCCCAAGGACUUCAGCCAUCUUCUACUGCUUUCCCGGGCCAUAGCAGAGAGCUGGAUUGGAAGUGCAGCAGCCAGGACUAGAACCGGUGCCCAUAUGGGAUACUGGCACUGCAGGCAGCAGCUUUACCUGCUGCGCCACGUUGCUGGCCCCUAUCUUUUAAAUCCUGUACUAAGACAAAUUUAAACAACUGCCUAUAUCAUUCCAUACUCCUAGAGCACUGGUCCCACACUCUCAACAUUAAGUAAUAGACUUAACCUUCAGUUGAGUCUCAGCACAUUUUAACCGCCACAGGGGGAUGGCUGCUAAUCUCCCUGACCCUCCCAACCUGUGCCACCUCAGAUCUCCUACCCUGAUCUGCAGCAACUACACCCUUGCCAGGGUCCAGGCCGAAGCCCCGAGUCACUUUGAGUGUUCUCUAAUUCUCACGCCGCACGCCUGCCUGGGCAUCUACUGGAGGCUGCAAGGAUAACCUGCCUGAGAGCCGGAGUCGGCAGCCGGAGCUGGCAGCCGGGAGGCAGGGGAGACUGAGGGGCUGAAGACAGUGUCUGGAAGCCACCAGUGAGCAGAGGAGCGAUGUCCACAUGGAGUAGGGUGAGACCGGAGAGGAGGUUCUGGGGGGACUGAUGGCGAGCAGCCAGCCGCAAGGAGGGGACACAGCCAGAGCAGGCCUCCCGAGGCCAUACCGUGCUCUCUGCAAGCAAAUAAGCACAAACCCUGAUCCAUGGAGCUUGCUGAUAGCCAUGACAUGAACACUCCCACUGUGGCCCACUUCAAGCAGCAACGUGGUGUCGUGGACCAUGGCCUGGAGAGCUGUGCACCAAUCACCUCUUGCAAACUGAUAGGAGCUGGCUGCUGCUCACCACCGCCUGGAAACCAAGCAGAGAAGACCUUGCCAAAAGAGUUGUAAGAAUGAAAGUGCGACCUGUUCAGUGCCGUCGAAGUGUCAGAUUAGCUGAGAGCCUCCGUGGUGAUGUGUGUAACAUUCUGCCUCACAGAGAUGUUCAGCCGAGCUCAGGCAAGAUGCCAGGACAGUACAGCAUGCCCUGUGUGCAAAGUCCAGACCUCCCAGGACAACGUACAAACCAGGGAAAGAAAGAAGCCACUGCUGACUGUGCGGCUUGUGCAUUCUCAGUCUGUGCUGUUUUCUGACAGAUGCACCCAGGCUAUAACUGGCCCUCUAAGUAUAGCUUUAACUGCGUUCUACAAAUGUUUUUUUUUUUUUUUAAAGAUUUAUUUAUUUAUUUGAAAGAGUUACACUGAGAGUGAAGGAGAGGCAGAGAGAGAGAGAGGUCUUCUGUCCUCUGGUUCACUGCCCAGUUGGCCGCAAUGGCUAGAGCUGCACGGAUCUGAAGCCAGGAGCCUCUUCCGGGUCUCCCAUGGGGGGUGCAAGGGCCCAGUCACUUGGGGCAUCUUCUACCGCUUUCCCAGGCCAUAGCAGAGAACUGGAUUGGAAGUGGAGCAGCCGGGGCUCGAACAAGCACCCAUAUCAGAUGCCAGCACUGCAAACAGCAGCUUUACCCACUACAUCACAGCACUGGCCCCAGCAUUCUAUAUGUUUUUAUGUGUAUUAUUUUAAUUAUCAUUUGUUGAAAAUAUUUUAAAUGCAAUCAAGCCUUUUUCUAAGGUUUUAGGGGUUUUGUUGUUGUUUUUCAAGAUUUAUUAUUUGAAAGGCAGAGUCAAAGAAGUAGACAGAGAGAGAGAGACAUGUCUUCCAUCUGCUGGUUCACUCCCCAAAUGGCUGCAAUGGCCGGAGCUGAGCUUAUCCGAAGCCAGGAGUCAGGAGUUGCCUCCGGGUCUUCCAUGCGGGUGCCGUGGCCCAAAGACUUUUACCAUCUUCUACUGCUUUCCCAGGCACAUUAGCAGAGAGCUGGAUCAGAAAUGGUGCAGUCGGGACUCAAAGCGGCACCCAUAUGGGAUGCUGGCAUUCCAGGCGGCGACUUUACCUGCUACGCUAUAUUGCCAGCCUCUGGUGUUUUUGUUCUGUUUUGUUUUGUUUUGUUUUGUUUAAGAUAAAUGCUUAAUUUCCAAACAUCAGCACUUUCUAGUUAUCUUUUUAAUGAUCAUUUCUAAAUUAUGUUGUGAAAUAUACUUUUUUUAAAAAAAGAUUUAUUUAUUUAUUUAUUUAAAAGAGCUACAGAGAGGGAGAGACAAAAGAUCCAUCUGCUGGUUCACUCCCCAGAUGGCCGCAAUGACUGGGGCUGGGCCAGGCCGAAGCCAGGAGCUUCUUCCGGGUCUCCCAUGUGGUGCAGGGGCCCAAGCAGUUGGGCCAUCCUCCGUUGCUAUUCCCAGGCCAUAGCAGGGAGCUGGAUCAGAGGUGGAGCAGCCAGGACUCAGACUACUGCGGAUAUGGGAUGCUGAUGUUGGAGGCGGUGGCUAUGUGCUAUGCCACAACGCCGGCACCAUGGAUGUACUUUCCAUGAUUUCAGUUCUUUGAGAUGGUUUUGAAACUUGCUUCCCUGUAACAGUUCAUUUUGGUAAAUUUCCCUGUGUGAGCUUGAAAAGGACAUGUUGUUAAGUAGUUGUUGAAUGCAAUGCUCUACACGUGUCUACUAGGUCAGAUUCGUGGAUCAUUGUGAUCACCUUGGUGUGAGCAUACCCCAUUGACGUUUGCCUGCUUGUUGUGGAAGUUACUGAGAGAGAUCAGAAGUAUGUUAAUGCCACCCACUAUAAUUUUCUGUUGUCCGUUGCUUCCUCUGGUUUUCAUGCGUGUUGUCUCUGCCCAUCUCUGGUUAUUUUUAUUGUCUGCUUCACGUUAUAAUUUUAAGCAAGGAUCCGGCAUUUAGCUUGGUAACUGAGGCACCCACAUGUCGUAUCGGAAGACGUGGAUUUGAGUCCCAGCUCCAGCUCCUGACUCCAGCUUCCUGCCAGUGCAAACCCUGGGAGGCGGAGGUGACAGUGAAGUGACGGGGUUCUUGCCACCCACACAGAGUUGGGCUCGGUUCCCACAUCUCCGUUCCAGGGCCAAUCCAGACCCGGCCAUUGCAGACUUGGGAAGUGAACCUGUGUGAGUGUGUGUGUGUGUGUGUACAAAUAAAAAAAAAUUCAAACCUUGUCAGUAAAGUGAUUCAGCGUCUAGAACGCUCUCCUCUCCGUCCAGAACGGGGUCAUGCUGCUACUCUUGGAGGCUGAGGGCACCUGCAAUCCUGAAUCCAGUUUUGGAGUUGGGGGUUCCUUGAAGCUGAGCGGUAGUGAGUGGUAGUUCCUGCCAGGGCUGUUCUAGCGCUGCUGCGGGCAUUUGUGGAGUGAAUCAGUGAGUGGAAGAUCUGUGUGUGUGUGUGUGUGUGUGUGUGUGUGUGUGUCUGCCUUUCAAGCAGAGAAAAGUAAAUAAAAAUUAUUAGAACACAGACAUUCAUCGCAGGUGCUGGGUCCCCUUGGCAGAGCACGGCCACCAUGUGUGCUGGCUCUAGGGAGAGACAGCAUCUCCCAGGGCAGGGUGGAACCUUCAGGGUCCUGUCCUUCAACCUCCCUGCACCCUGCACGUUCACUUCUUUAGGAAGUCACCUCUGCUGGAGCACCCGCAGUGAUGGGGGGAGGGGCUCACUACUCUUCCCUCCCACUGGGAACAGCAGGGAAGAAAGUGACCAUCACGCAGUUGUUAUCUUCAUGUGAGAUGUUAAUAAGAACACGGUGAUGACUACAGGAGCAUUGUUCGGUGUUGAGCAGGUCCUUGCACUCACUCCAGCACAGUAGUUUUCUCCGUAUUAUCUCAUUUAGUGUUUGGAACUGAAUUACCGUGCCCCUCCCCAGCCCACUUGGACAAAGACAGGAAGUUCUCAAUUUACGAACUAAUUGUGCUCCUGCAAUUCCUUUGUGAGGCUGCUGUUUGGAUGACAGACCGCUGCUCCACGUAAACAAUGCUAUAAAUGGCCCUGGGGGCCCACCCCCCGGGGCCCCACCCCCCCUACUCCACAAGCCCCUUGGCUUGUGUGAAGCUCACCCUUCACACCCGAUGGACCUCCACACACUUACAGUAAAGGGAACAGAACGAAGUUGGGCUAGACAGCAGUCCCGAACAGUGCAGGAAAACCGUGAUUAGGUGGGGGGACUGUUGGUCAUCCACACUGGCUGCUGGAGGAAGCGCCUGCCCCAGAAGGGGCAUCCUGGGAACUGGUUUCAAAGCCGGCUCCCUCCCACUGGUAGAAGGAGAUAGCGUGCCCCAGAACACUGGAUCUGAUGGUGGGGAUGGUGCAGACUCCGAGGAGUGGGCUGGACCCAACUUGUGUGGCCCCCUACCCUGCACCUCUCCCAGCAAACACCAGGUCCGAGCGCCUGGCACACAGGAAGUGCUCGCUGAAUGGUGAUUCACACUGUUAAAAAUAAUGUAAGUGCAGCAAGGUCAGUGUCUGGAGAAGACAAAAAAAGCAAGCAGUUCCCAAGGCUAGGCACUGAGCCCUGCUCAGAACACAUGGGCCUCUCCCACCUCACCCUUCCCAGUAUCUCCGCCCUGCAGCGAACUGGGAGCUGAAAGGGAGCCUGUACGCCCUCCUACUUCAUUGUCACAGAAGGCCUUGGUGAGGGGCCGCUUCAGCCAACCAGGGCAGCCUUGAAGUCUGCUGAAACCUAGGAGGCACAAUAGAUGCAGGUGGAGUAUUCCUUAUCCAAAAUGCUGCGGACCUCAAGUGUUUUGGAUUCCAGAUUCCACCCCCCCACUGGGGGAUAUUUGCAUACAUGCAUACAUAAUGUGGUCUACUGUGGUCCACUUGCUCCUGUGACAAACCACAGCAGAGAACCAACUCAAGUCCUGGCUGCUCUGCCUCCCAUCCAGCUCCAGGCUCAUGCAUCUGGGAAAGCAGCAGAACAUGGUCCAGGCACUUGGACCCCUAACAGCCAUGUGGGAGAUCCCGAUGGAAAUCCCGGCUCCUGGCUUCAGCCUAGACCAGUCCUGGCGGUUGUAGCCAUUUGAGGAGUGAACCAACUGGCAGAUAGAGGAUCUCUGUCUCUGUCUCUCUUUCUCUCUGCUCUUCAGGUAAAUACUUAAAUCUUUUUUAAAAAGGAAUUAUCUUGAAGAUGAGGCCUUGGCUAAUCAUGAAAUUGGUUUUUGUUUCAUGUACAACUCACACAACCUGAAGGUAGUUUGCCUGCUGUCUGCACCUGUGCUCUGCCCACCCCCUUCAUGUGAGGUCAGCUGUGGAGUUGUCCACAGACCCAAAAGCUUUCAGACUUCGCAGCAUUUCAGAUGUGGGAUUUUCCGAGUAGCUCUGCUCAACCCAUGGGGAAUUCAGACGACACUGCACAGGCUGUGCCCAUAGGUUGUCUCCAGACCUGGCUCGUUCACCCAGAGCGUUGUACUUUGGACAGUCAUCUCAAAAACUCACAUAGCCACAUUUAGCCAAGGGCAGCCACAAAAUUCCAGUCCCAGUGUUCAGGUGUUCCCUCACCUGAUAGCCAUUGUAUGAUCUAAAUGACACAGGUACCAGGGGAAGAAGAAAGAUGGGCAUAUGAGGUCAAGGUUGCAUUCACGAUGCAGGGAGGGCAAGCCAUGUGUGUGUGUGUGUGUGUGCGUGGGCGUGCGCCCGUACCCGUGCGCAUACACUGAGAAACUGAGGCUUUGAAAUAGUUCAAGUAAGGAAAGGUGGCAAAAGAAUCAAUCAACCAAGAGUUUUAAAAUGAGCCAGGGAAGACCUUUCUCUCUCUCUCUCUCUCUCUCUCUGUCCGUUCUGCCUGUAAAAAAAAAAAAAAAAAAAGCCAGGGGGCCAGCCUUGUGGCACAGCAGGUUAAGCUGCUGUUUAUGACACCAACAUCCCAUAUUGGUGCACUAGUUCGAGUCCUGGCUGUUCCACUUCCUAUACAGCUUCCUACUAAUGCGCCUGAGAAAGCAGCAGAAGAUGGGGAAGAUGGCCCAAGUACUUGGGGCCCCCGCUGCGCAUGUGGGAGACCCAUUUAGAGUUCCUAGGUCCUGGCCCAGCUCCAGUUGUUGCAGCCACUUGAGGAGUGAACGAGUAGAUGGAAGAUGUCUUUGUCUCUUGUCUCUCCUUCUCUUUCAAAUAAAUAUAAAUUUAAAAAGUCAAAAGAAAGUGCCAGAUUCCUGGCCAGGCUGCAGGGUUGGUGAGACAGCAGGCCAUUCGUUUGCUUGUGUGCAUGGCAGCCAACUGGACAGCCUGUUAAAAUGCAGGUUCCCGGAUCCUCCCCCAGCUGCUAAGUCAGAAGCUCCAUGGGUGUAUUUUUUUUUUUUUUUUUGACAGGCAGAGUGGACAGUGAGAGAGAGAGACAGAGAGAAAGGUCUUCCUUUGCCGUUGGUUCACCCUCCAAUGGCCGCCGCGGCUGGCGCGCUGCGGCCGGCGCACCACGCUGAUCCGAUGGCAGGAGCCAGGUACUUAUCCUGGUCUCCCAUGGGGUGCAGGGCUCAAGGACUUGGGCCAUCCUCCACUGCACCCCCUGGCCACAGCAGAGAGCUGUCCUGGAAGAGGGGCAACCGGGACAGAAUCCGGCGCCCCGACCGGGACUAGAACCCGGUGUGCCGGCGCCGCAAGGCGGAGGAUUAGCCUAGUGAGCCGCGGCGCCGGCCCAUGGGUGUAUUUUUAACAUGCUCGCCAUGCACCUGCUAGAGUGUCAAGCUGGGCAGCUCAGAGGGCUAGAAGAACCCAAGCUUUCAGUCCAUAGCUCUGAUUUCACAACUUGCUGCCGUCUCCCUGCCAUGCGACUUGGCCUCUCCGGGUUUCAGUUUUGCAUCGAUGAGCUGGGCACAGAAACAGCCACGUUGUGUGGGGCUUAUUUUGAGGAUUAGUAGCGCACACAAAGCACCCGGGGUGGCGACUAGAACACAAUAGAUGCUCAGUAGGCCGUAGUUGCGGUUAGGAUUUGAGUGCCUGGAAGAGACCAACCUGUUGGCACUGGCAGGCAGGUGAGAGCGGAGAGCAGCCCAGGGGCUCAGCACUUUGCUCUCCACAGCUUCUCAGCAAUGGGUCGACCCAAAGCGCACAAGUGUUCCCUGGAGGACAGCACCUUCAGCCUGUACCGUGAACAUGGCUUGUCACGCUAGCUCUGAAACAUGGAACAGAAGUUGCGAAGGAAGUGGUGCUGUGGGAUCCCCCCACACACACUUUCUCCCCUCACCAUCCCAUGCCUGCUGCCUGAGCUCAUCUAUACCAGACUGGCGCCUCUCCCUAUAGAAACAAAAUUUACACAGCUCACUUGGCAUUCCAAUUCCAUCUGUGUGGCUUUGAGAAAACCACACAGCCACUCUGAGACUGCAGUGUCUGCCCCUAACUAGGGAGAGCAUGGUGACAGCCAUUCAUCCAUCCUGGGGACGUUCGCUGAGCAGCUACUAGUGGGGCCCUGGCUAACAGUGAGCUGGUAGACCCCGUCCUCAUCUCCUCAUCGCUGGCGGAUAGGCCAAUGGGAGAGCUGGGCUUUCAAACCCCACCCCCAAAAAUGCAAAUGUCUGAUUGCAAAACAAAAGCAUCUACCUUAGAUAGGUCAGGUCAUGGUUCUUCCAACACUGUUUUAGCAGCAGAACGCUUUGUUCGACUGAAACCGACACAGGACAAGGUCACGGAAAACAGAUCAAAGGGAAGCAGCUCCGAGGCCCCAGAGCUGUCUCCAGGGAGAGCCAGUUCAAGGAACAGAGCUGGAAACCGUGCUGGGAGCGAGAGGUGAGGAAGUGUUUGCGGGUGGCGGAGCCCAGGCCAGGUUCACAGAGAAACAGUGACUCCCCUCCUUCGCUUUGUCCUUUCUCUUUCUCUCAUCAUCCAGGACCCCCACAUCUCUCGGCUGCAGAAGCACUGGCUGCCCAGAAACCCCUGUCCCUCCUGGCUGAGGGAUUCCGGGGCGCUGAGCUUCCUGGGGUCCCUGGGAGCGGGAGCCAGGGAGUCUGGGCAGCCAGCGCUGGAAAGCGGCUCACUGCCGAGGCCGAUUAUCUGAUGGAGCGCUUCCUUCAUCAGUGCUAAUAUCCAUGUAGCGAAACAAUGAAAGGGUUUCCUAUCAGUUCCAAAUAGGACGUGAAAAACUCUCCGUGCUAAGAGUAGAGGAUGCUCGAAUAGGGCAAUGGGAAACGGCUGAAUCACCAGAGGGCCUCUUUGAUUCCCACGGCCCAGUCACUGAGAGGGAAGACAGAGAGAGUGGUUCAUUAGCUGUGCGAGGGAGGGCGGGGACAGGAAGAACUGGCCCUUCACGUGGGACCUCCCGGAUGGCGGAUGGCUGAGAGCAGAGAAGCCCAGCUUUGGGGACACCACCCUGAGGAGGAGGCAGAGCCCGCAGCUUCACCCAUGCACCUGCCCGGCUCCUCCCACCCCCAGCAGCUGAGCGUGUGUGUGUGUGUGUGUGUGUGCCCCGCUCUGUGGGUAGUUCGGGUUUCCAAGGAUAAAAUUCCUUUGAAGGAAGCUGGGUGUGUUACUCUGGCUUAUAUCAGGGACUCCUGCUGAAUCUUCCUGGGACAGGGAGGCCAAACCAGCACCGCCUUGCUCAGGAGCUGGCCAGUCCCCUUGGCUUUGCCAUCACUCAGAUUUGCUGCAGGCAAAAUGGGAGAGCCACGCAUUCAAAGAUUUACCCAGCCUCGAUCCACCGAAAGCCUUUUGGCACCAAUCUCCCAGGGCCUCUCUAGCCCAGACAAGAAAUCUCUUCUUUUCCUUUGCUGGAAUAUGCUAAUCUGCUUGUCCUUAGAAGACAACACAUGUGCCAGUGAGGAAGUGCCUGGGGCGUGUGCGGGCCCAUCAUGCCUUCUGGGAGGGUGCAGCCACAGCCAUGGUUAUCGGCUUUGGAAAUUCAAAAAGAGCCUCUGGUGUCUUCCCCUUCUCUUCAAGGAGCCCGCCUGCGCCAGAGCUGGUGCCUGCCCAAGCAAACCAUCAGGCCGGAGUCCAGCUUCCGGAAUUAUUGGCCUGGUGCUCAGAAACCAUUGUCAGGAAAGCCUUGGGUAACCGUCCUCCGUGGUGGGUGCUAUGAGACCAGAACCACUCGGAGCCUUCCAGGGUGGGUGCGAUGGCAGCUGGUGUCCCAUCCGGGACGCAGCCUCACACUGGGAAACCUCAGACCUGCGUGCUGGCGUCUGCUCCAGGUAGAACAGCAGCUUUGCUGAGAAACCUCGCGGUGGUGUCCUGAGCUUUACAGGGCCUAUAAGAAUAUGCACAGGGCGUGUACUUGGUACAGCAGUGAACAUGCUGUUUGGGACACCUACACCUCAUAACCGAGUGCCAGGGUUCGAGUCCUCGCUCCACUUUUGAUCCAACUUGCUGCUAAUGUAGCAUCCUGGGAGGCAGCCGGUGAUGGCACGAGCUCUUGGGUCCCUGCCGCCCAUGUAAGAGACCGAGGUGGAGUUCCUGGCUCCUGCCUUCUGUCUGGCCCAACUCUGGCUGUCGCAGGCAUCCGGUGGACAAACCAGCCGAUGAAAGAUCUGUCUCUCUCUGCAUUUCAAGUUAAUAAAAAAUGUAAAAUGCAUGCAUGAAAUGCAAACGAACCAAAGGAAGCAUCAGUGGGGCUCUCCUUCCACGGCGUGUAUGUCUGGGGAGCAGAGAAGGCCCCCAGGGCUCUGUUCCAGAAAGUGCUGUAGGCUCCAGAGAGAAAGGGGCCCCGCUGGACCACAAGUGAGAACAAUGCCAGGCGCUCCCCACGCUGCAGGUGUGUGCGUGGGGGACUUCUUCCUGAAGCUCCGGGGUCAGGGGCCGGGGCCCAGAGGCCUGGCUGCGUUUAUUGUCCAUUGUCCCAGGCUGGGACAGGAAGCACUUUCUGUUCCCAAUUGCUCGGGUGGAUUAAUUUACGGCGGGGAGCUCGGAGUUGGCGCCAGCACCUGUGUUCCCCUCCGAGAGGCCAGCUUCCGGGCUUGGGGGUGUUUCAGGAGGGGUCCCCUCUGCACAGAUGUGGCUCCCCCCAACCCCAGCCCUCAGCUACUGCCUCUGCCCCCCUCCCCAUGGGGCUCUGGACUCCAGCAGCAGCUCUGGGAAUCUGCACCAGCUUGCCCCCUCAACUCUACACCUCCUACCCUCCAAACCAGGACAUCUGGUGGGGGGAGGCUUAGCCCUGUGGGGUCCACACCAAAGUGGCCAAUAAGGAGCAAUGGCAACGAACCCCAAGUGACAGCAUCCUGCCUUCUCCUGGGUAUCUGCUCACUCCCUGUCAUGUUCAGGCUUGGGUGGUGCACACACACUCCUCUCUUUCAUUUGGUGGGUAUUGUGAGCCCAUUCUACAGAUGAAGAAACUGCCCUCCAGAGAUGUGAGGCACCCAGGUCGUGGAUAGAAGUGGUGGGAUGCACACUUGGGUCUGUUCUAGGUCUCUGAGCUCUCAGACUCACAGGGCUGCAACGGCAGGAAGCUGUGGGCGUCAAGGAGGACAAGGGGACCCUGCACCAUCUCCAGGGGAGAACGGCUCUGCUGCUUACCUCCAGCCCUCUGCAGUCUGGUAGUAAGGUGGGUCCAGUGUGGCCAGACUCUUCCAAGGAAUCACCACACUGUCCAUGCUAGUAACUCAGUGCAUUUCUCAUCCCUGGAUGGCACGCUGCCCAUGGGCCCUGCGUUCCUCCACUGCCCUGUGCCACCAGACCACUGUAGACAGUGAGUACCUGCUGUAUCAUAGGGGGCUGAGCCAGCGCCUCCCCACCGGGACCCAGUCAGCAUGUUCAGAUCCUCCACAGAUGGCAGGCACUGUGCUCCAAGCAGACUCAGGCUCAAAAGGGCAGCAACCCCCCUUCCCGGGGGUCUCAGCUAAUGCAGGCCAGGUAGCUCCUUGGGUCCCCGCCAUAUCCAUCAAAGGACAGAGGAGGAAGACUGGAGUUGGGCGGCAGAUGCUGACCCUGACCCUGUUUGUCCAGGCCCUGCCUUCCUUUCACUAGGAUACCCUGGGAUGGUCACCUAUCCCUCACCCACACUCACCACCAGCUGCCACUGCCAGCACAGCCCACUUGCCAUGUGUCCCUUUAGGAGCUGUGCCACCACACUUUUCCCACGUAAUCUUAGCUCUCUGGUGGCUCAGGACGGCUCUACUCCCCCUCGCUGUGCCCCAGCAGCCUGCCCUUUGAAGGGCCAUGGCCACCUCCCCUAGGUGCUGCCUCCCACCCAUGGUGGUGGCGGGGACGCAGUAUCGCGUGGCCCCGGAUGCAGGUUCGCCUGCUGUGCCCCUGAGUGACAGGGCUGCCCUUUGUGGAGGGGGAGAUUAGAGGCAGGCUGGAGGCUGCGCGGCCCUCACAGGGCUGACAGGAGACGUCAGCCCGGCACGCCGCCUGCCGCCCAGCCUGGGGGGAGAGGGGGGCUCUUGACAGGCCUGGAGGGGGUCCAGGAGGGAGCGCCAGGGAGGGGCCGGCUCCUCACACACAAAGACCGGGCCUGUCUUCACACCUGCGGGACACGCAGAGCCCAGGGCUGGGGGAGCGCAGGCCGUGGGGAAUGAAUAAUUCGCUCUGAAAGAAGCAUGUCACGGGGAGAUAGCUCAGCCAGACACUUCAAAUAAAGGCGAGCAGCCGCGGUGACAGGGGACAUUCUUUGCCGCCGAUGCGCUGCAGGGACCUAAGUGCUGCGAUGUCGAGAGUGGAGCCUUGAACCCUUCAGAGUUAUUUUUAUUAAAAAAAAAAUGAGAAAGAAGAAAAAAAAUCCCACCGCAGAAGCAGGGCUGAGCGUCGGAGCCCUGAGAAAGGCCAGAUAAUGAGUGCUGGCACCUUCAUUCUACCUUUGUCACAGAGAGCCACACUUCCUGGACACACCUGGAGAGCCAGGGCUGCCUGCUCUCCCCGCCUCUAAACCUCCGGCCAGGCUGUUCCCCGCCUGGAACGCCCUCCCACCCUGCAUCCUCUCCUCAGAAUCCUGCCCAGAUUCCAGGACUGACUCAGAACCCCCCAGCUCCGGCUCCCCAAAUUCCAGAACCAGCUGAGGAUCACAGCACGCAGCCGGCCGCCCCAGCUUCUCUCGCCCUCCUCGCUUGGUGUCUAGGCGUGUGACGGUAUCUCUUGACGUAUUUAUCUCACCCAGCCAGCCAGGAUCGUGUUCACUCCUAUCCCAUACCCAGAGAUGACCACUUGCUAAAUGUCAGCCCACAAAGACAGUCAUAGUGAAGGCCACAAAUCACAGGGCCACAAGUACUAGGAUUGUCGUGAGGAAAAAAAAAGAAAAAAAAAAAAAAACCUUGGGGCCAGUGCUUUGGUGCUGGCAUCCAUAUGGAUGCUAGUUUGAAUCCUGGCUGCUCUACUUAUUUAUUUAUUGACAGGCAGAGUGGACAGUGAGAGAGAGAGAGAGACAGAAAGAAAGGUCUUCCUUUACCGUUGGUUCACCCUCCAGUGGCCGCUGCGGUCAGCGUGCUGUGGCCGGUGCACCGCACUGAUCCGAAGGCAGGAGCCAGGUGCUUCUCCUGGUCUCCCAUGCGGGUGCAGGGCCCAAGUACUUGGGCCAUUCUCCAUUGCCUUCCUGGGCCACAGCAGAGUGCUGGCCUGGAAGAGGGGCAACCGGGACAGAAUCCGGCACCCCGACCGGGACUAGAACCCUGUAUGCCAGCGCUCUACUUCUAAUCCAGCUCUCUACUAUGGCCUGGGAAAGCAGUAGAAGAUGGCCCAAGUCCUUGGGCCCCUGCACCUAUGUGGGUGACCUGGAAGAAGCUUCUGGCUCCUGGCUUCAGAUUGGCACAGCUCCAGCCAUUGUGGCCAUCUGGGGAGUGAACCAACAGAUGGAAGACCUCUCUCUCUGCACCUCUCUGUAACUGCCUUUCAAAUAAAUAAAUAAAUCUUUGAAAAAAAGUUCAUAGGGAAAAUGCAACUAAAUGUUAAGUUGAUUUUGGUGCAAAACUUCUGCAUUAUUUUUUGUAAUAUGCAUUUCCAUGAACUUUUUGAAGACUUUCGGUAUUUGAGUAUUAUCUUAAUUUUUAUAUUAGGUAUAUGCAUUUCUUUUUUAAUUUAAAAACACAUUCUUUCUUAAAAAUGCAUUUAUUUAUUUAAGAGAUAGACAGAGAUAGAGCUCCUCCUGUCUGCUGAUUCUCUGCCCAAAUGCCGGCAACAGCCAGGAGUGGGCCAGGAGCCAGGACCUCGUUUACUUGAGAGAUCACCACUGCUUCAGGAUCUGCACGAGCAGGACGCUGGAGUCAGGACCCAGAGCUGGGAAUCCAGCCCAGGCCCUCCAGUAUGGGAUGCAAGCAACUCAACAGCUAGGGUAGAUGCCUGCUCCCUAAAAACCUGUUCUUAACCCAUGCGGUUCAGCAACACGCAGCCCUUCCCCAAGCAGGGACUCCGAGGCCUGGCUUUGGUUCAGUCAGAAGAGGGCUAGGGAGUCGGUGGCGGGAGCUCCAGUGAUGGACAUAGGAAGGGCCAGCACAGGCCUUGGCCAUCAUCCUACGUCCCAGGGAUGCAGCGCUGCCUGCACACCUCCCUACCGGCACCGCUGGUGCCAGAACAGGGUCACAUGAUGCCACGGUUCGAGUGUUCCCCAAGAUUUCACGUUAAUCCCCUUGUUUACAUGUUGAUGGCCUUUAGAGGUGAGGCCCUCAGGGUGUGACUCGGAUCAGGUGCGGUUCAGAGGCUGGGGCCCCACAAGGGCUCCACGAUGCCGUGAGUGGUUUCAGCUCACCACCCCGGGGAUGCCCUCCACCUCGCUGGGAUGCCACGAGUCGGCCUGUUUCAGACUUCCAGCCCCUAGAGCCAUGAGCCGAACACACCAGUCGGGGCGCCGGAUUCUGUCCCGGUUGCCCCUCUUCCAGGCCAGCUCUCUGCUGUGGCCAGGGAAGGCAGUGGAGGAUGGCCCAAGUGCUUGGGCCCUGCACCCCAUGGGAGACCAGGAGAAGCACCUGGCUCCUGCCAUUGGAUCAGCGUGGUGCGCCGGCCGCAGCGUGCCAGCCGCGGCGGCCAUUGGAGGGUGAACCAACAGCAAAGUGUCUCUCUCACUGUCCACUCUGCCUGUCAAAAAAAAUAAUAAUAAUAAAAUAAAAUAAAUCACCCGGCCUGUGGCAUUCAGUUCCAGAACAGAACCCGUGGGCAGUCCAACUACCAGGGAUCUGGGAAGUGGGGCAGGGUGGAGUGGUAGGUGUAACCCAGGUGUAGCCCAGUAGGGCCGAGUGGUAGGUAUAACCCAGGUGUAGCCCAGUAGGGCUGAGUGGCAGGUGUAGCCCAGGAGGCCUCUUCUGAGCCAGAGGGCCUCCCACUCACUUCCUUUUCCUCUUGCUGUGAGUUGACGGCGACCUGGUCCCUUGGUGGCUCCCUCUUCCAUGGCCCUGGUGUCCCCUUCUUCCCAUCCCCUCCCCUGUCUGCUCAGCCCUCAGCUGUCCCAAAUGAGAGCUUUUUUCGUUGCCUUCCAAACCACAGCUCUUCCCCUCCCAGAAUAUUCUAGAAAGGCAUUUUUCUAAGGAAAGCUGGUUCCCUCCAGGAGAAGGAGCCUGGUGCUGGUGACCCAGACUCAGUAUCCGUCUCGGGACACUUGGAUUUUUUUCUGCCCUAAGCAUCAGAGUGAGUGCAAUGUUUGGGGCCCAAGUGAAAAGUACUCGGUUCCUGAAACAGGAAAUCAACCCCGUGGAUCCAGCAAGAGGAACGGCAGCCCGGGACGCCCAAGCUGAAGUAUCAGAGGUAACCGCAGACCGCAGGGGAUCUCGGGGCAAAGAGUCGCCAGUUCUAUGUUGACUGAAUGUCGGGGUUUUUCUCUUGGCGUGGUCCCUCGGUGGGUGCCAGCAGGUAAUACUAAGCAAUAGUGACUCGCCUUACGUUCAGGUUUCCUCAGUUCCCCUUCGAAAGCUUUAAGAUAUUCAGAGCAGGAGCAGGCGCUGUGGCUCAGCAGAUGAAGCCACGGCUGGAGUGUCUGCAUCCCACACUGCAAAGUCUAGUUCCAGCCCUGGCUACUCCGCUUCCCAUCCAGCUUCCUGUGACUGUGCUGGAAAGACAGCAAAUGAUGGCUCCAGUGCUUGGGCCACUGCCAUCCGUGUGGGACACCUGGAUAGGGAUGCAGGCUUCUAGCUUGGGCCAGGCCCAGCCCUGGCUACUACAGGCAUUUGGGGAAUGAACUAGCACAUGGAAUCUCUCUCUCUCUCUCUCUCUCUCUCUCUCUCUCUGCCUUUCAAAGAAAAAUUUACAAAUAUAAUGCAUUGCCGCCUGCAAUGGUGCUGUCCCAUAUAGGAGGCGAUUCGAGUCCCUGCUGCUCCAUUUCUGAUCCAACUCCCUGCUAAUGGCCUGGGAAAAGCAGAGAAAAACAGCCAAAGUGUUUGGGUCGCUGCCUCCCAUGUGGGAGACCCAGAUGAAGCUCCAGACUCGUGGCUUCGGCCUGGCUGUUGGAGCCAUCUGGGGAGUGGACCAGAGGAUGGAAGAUAUCUCUCUCUGUAACUUUAACAUUCAAAUAAAUGUAAGUCUUUAAAAAAAAAUACCUAGCAAGGUGCGAGAAGCUCUGUAAUGAGUUUUCUUGACCAUGGUUGGGAUUCUCCACCAGCACUCCACCCUCCCCGGCCCCUGGCCUUUUCCUGACCUGAGUCAUCUGCAGGAAACUCACCUUUCCUCUUGCUGCCCAUUGCACUCACCUGGGGACUUUUUUUUUUUUGGCCUUUGAAGAGGCAGAAAAGCAGACAGCUAGCUCCCAGGAGUUGGUUCACUCCUGGCCCGAUGGAACAACUGAGGAAGCGACAGCUAGGAAGGAGCCCUGGGGGGAGGCCUGGGGCUGUGCCGCGCUGUGUGAGCCCUUGAAAGAGAGUGAAGAGCCAGUGGGAUGGGGUCCGUGAGGCCCCUAGAAGAGGCCAGGGCCAUUUCAUCUGAGCAUCAUGUUCCCAAAGGACCCUGGAUUUCGACUUUUUUUUUUUAAAUACCAAGUGUUUUUAUUAUUAUUUUAAUUUGAAAGAGUGACUAAGGGAG